GCCUCCCCAAAAGCUAGCCCACCCUAAAAAAUCAAUAAUCAACAUUAAUAACCCCGAAUUCACGACACAUUAAUAAAACAAACCAUUUUUCCGCCCAAGUACGGGAGACAGAAAAGGACAUUUGGCGCUAUAGAAAAAGUACCGCAAGGGAAAGCUGAAAGAGAACUGAAAAAACCCAGUAAAGGACCCAAAAGCAGAGAUCUAACCUCGUACCUUUUGCAUCAUGAUUUAGCAAGAACAACUCAAGCAAAGAGCCUUUUAUGUUUGAAACCCCGAAACUAAGCGAGCUACUCCAAGACAGCCUAUUAUAGGGCAAAUCCGUCUCUGUGGCAAAAGAGUGGAAAGAGCUUUGAGUAGAGGUGAAAGACCUACCGAGCUUAGUUAUAGCUGGUUGCCUGAGAACUGAAUAGAAGUUCAGCCUUUUAAAUUCUUUCACCCAACAAAGUAACACUUUCCUCCGGUCAAAAGAUAAUUAAAAGAGUUAUUCAAAAGAGGGACAGCUCUCUUGAAAAAGGACACAACUUUUCAAGGAGGUAAAAGAUCAUAACACGUAAAGGAGUCUUACCUAGGUGGGCCUAAAAGCAGCCAUCCCCGAAGAAAGCGUUAAAGCUCAAGUAUACACCUCCCACAAUCCCAACAAAACUAUCUUUUACCCCUACUCCUAUCAGGCCCAUCCAUGCAGCCAUGGAUAAGACAAUGCUAAAAUGAGUAAUAAGAGAGCCCAGACUCUCUCAAAUACAUUCGUGUAAAUCAGAACGAACCCCCACUGAAAAUUAACGCCCCCAAUCAUAGAGGGAAGUGAGCCAAUUAAACAAAAACAAGAAAAAUCCCCAACACUUCAAUAAGCGUUAACCCUACACAGGAAUGUUUUACGAAAGACAAAAAGAAAAAGAAGGAACUCGGCAAACACUGGCCUCGCCUGUUUACCAAAAACAUCGCCUCUUGCUCAAACAAUAUAAGAGGUCCCGCCUGCCCUGUGACUAGUAGUUUAACGGCCGCGGUAUUUUGACC
rnacentral:rRNA from 1 species